UCACUGUUUUUAUUAGGCUUGGAACCUAUUCCCAAGAAGAUAUAAAAGGGUCAUUUCAGCAAGUGGUAGUUUAAUUUCUAGGCUAGAUCUGCUCCUAUUUGUAAUAUAAGGAUUAUUACACUUUAAGUUUUCAUUGCCCCCAACAAACUUUCUCUAUGAUGGUUAAGGCCUUGUUUACUUUCACAUCGAAUCUUUAGACGCAUGCAUGGAGUAUUAAAUGUAAACGAAAAUAAAAACUAAUUGCACAGUUUGGUCGAAAUUGACGAGACGAAUCUUUUAAGCCUAGUUAGUCCAUAGUUGGACAAUAAUUACCACAAACAAACGAAAGUGCUACAGUGUCGCGAAAUUUUUCUCUUCACGAACUAAACAAGGCCUAAAUCUGACAAGGAAAGUACAAAAAACUUUAGACAUAUACUUCUCAUGGUGGCUACCAUCAAGGAUCGAUUGUGAGGGUCUGAUUGUCAUGGAAAGUCAAUCUUCCAUGAUGGUUAUAACUGUCAAGGAAGAGUUUUUGGGAUGGUUCCCUAUCAACUGCUACACCAUCAAGAAAGGUUCGAACCUUCAGUGUGGGUUGUGUCUGAAUCGUCACGAAACAUUUUCCUGCGUCGGUUUAAGGUGUUAGUAAAGCUUUGGUCCUAUUGGUACCACCAAACUAGGUGAUGUCUUUGUCGUAAGCCUAAAACCGUAAGGAAAUUAUGAUUUCCUUUGUCACUUACACAUUAAUUAAUUUAGCCAUUACAAUUAAUACCACAUAAGAAGAAAAACACAGAGAUAGAGACACAGACACAUACACACAGACACAAUGCCCACGCACCUCUCUCUCUCACACACAUAUAAUAUUGAAAAAAGAAAAAAAUAAUUUCAAAUUUCGUAACUGAAAUGGACUGAGUGGUACAAAAAUGUAAUGUUGUAAUCUUUUAAUGCCAUACCUUCAAAGAUGUGAUCUUUUAUUGGUAUACCACCGUCAAAUUCUUAAACAAUAAAAUUGCUAUUUUUAGCAAGAAUACAAUUUCUUUUGGACGGAUCGAGCUAUUUAUUGAUGUGUAGCGACAAGCAGCGGCUCUAUCUAUGGAUGUGUAGUGACAAACAGUGGCUGGGCCAGCCGCCUCUACAAAUCCAGUUUAUAGUAGUGUAGUCAUUACUCACCUCGCUAGUUGAAAGCAGACUGGCCUUGUUAGAUGUGAAAAUUUUUAGAUUUCGCUACUGUAGCACUUUCGUUUGUUUGUGAUAAAUAUUAUUCAAUCAUAGACUAACUAGGGUUAAAAGAUUCGUAGUCAAACUGUGUGAUUAGUUUUUGUUUUCGUCUAUAUUUAAUGCUUCAUACAUAUGCCGCAAGAUUCGAUAUGACAGAGAAUCUUGAAAACUUUUAAGAUUUCGGGGUGAACUAAACAAAGCCUAUAGUGGCCUUCCAAGACACGUUGGAUUGAAAUUAAACAAGGAAUCGCAGCGGAGAAUCAUAUAUAGAAAUAAUGUCAACCUUGAGUUUCUUCAGUUUCGAUCUCCGCUGCCUUAGCUUUUUUUCUUCUAAUUUUCUUUGCGAUGGAAGGAAAGGAAAAAUAGUGACUUUGUCCAACAAAUUAAAUUAAGACCUUGUUUACUUCGUGAAAAGAAAAAAGGUUUUAAAUAUUGUAGCACAUUUGUAAAUAUAUUAAUUAGUGUCUAAUUAUAUGGAUUAAUUAGAUUUAAAAGAUUUAUCUCGCAAAAUACAUAUAAACUGUAUAAUUAGUUAUUUAUAAAAUCUAUAUUUAAUGCUCCAUAUAUAUAUAUAUAUGUUCAAACAUUUAUUAUGAUGGAACGAAAACUUUUUAAGUGCGAACUAAACAUGGCCUAAACCAUGCAUCUUGUUGCUGCUGCUAGCUGUGGUCGAUGGAGUUGACAAGCAAGCAGUCGCCACCGUGCUGCAUUGAUCCACGAAAGUCCGGCGACAGCUUCCUAAUUUUUUUUUAGGGUCAGGUAAUUGUCACACUCACACCGACAUGCCUCGUCGCCAUGUUGGAGGAAACGAUAGACGACGUCUUAGCGGCAGCGGGCCGGGUCAUGUCGUUGUCGUGGUCACCUGGAGCAAGCAAGACUUUUGUACGUACUAGUUGAGACUAAUGUGAGUGUCGACAAGUUUAUUUGCAGGCACUCCGUCCGUCACUGGCCUAUCUAUCCGCCUAUCUGACCACCAUACGAGAGCUGCAGUGUAGUGGAUGUCUGCAUUUUGUUUCAUCGUCCAGACUCCAGAGUCAAAUACAAUACAGUGGCAGUACGAUGGUCGAUGGCCGUCUAGCUGUAAUCCUAGUACUAGCAAUGCCACAGUGGACUGGUGGAGCGAGCAUCGCAGAUGUCGGCAACGUAACUUCGUUCAUGUGGAUGCAAUCCAUUCGAAAUGGAUGCAUGCCAACAUGCAAAUAUCAUGCAGUUGCAGCCAGACAAGGAAUGAAGGAAGCACACUUGUGUAGCUACUAGCUUCAGUGAGAACUCUGAUGCAGCUUGCUCUGACUCCGAUCCUGUCCAGUGAUCACCUUGUUGGGCGGUUGGAUAUGAAUGCGAUCACAUCCUAUCCAUCUCCUAUUGCAUGCGUUGCCAAAAGUUGUAAAAGCCUCCCGUCGAUUUGGGCAUCUGGCCGGCCGGCAGAAUGAAUACAAAGCAGGGGAAAAUGUGCUUACCGCUAGUGUGAAAAGGCACAUCAGGCUUUGCUACAUACGAUACGAGUAUGCUCGUGCUCCUGGCGGCUGGCGGACCUUAGCUUCGUCCAUCAUCAUCAUAUCUUUUCUUUUGUGCCACCCUGAAUCCCACACACACACAGACAACAUAGCUUGUUCAACCAGCAAUUCAGCAGUCUGAUGAUGCUCAUCUUGCUGGUCAGCUGGUGACUUUAACAUCAGCUGCAUUGCAUGCCCUGGUGUAGUAUGCACAUGCAUGCAUAUAUGCAUCUCUCCAGUCUCCACUGCCGGUGCCGGCCGGAGAGCUACCCUAGCUACUGACUGACACCACUGCAGCAGCUCUACCGCGUCGCACGCCAUCGCACUCGCGCCAACUGUCAAGCUACUGUGCAUGCAUAUACACACACACACGCACGCACGCACGACACACCCAUCGCCUCCCGCUCAGUCCACUCCACGGACUUCCUUUCCUUUCAUCAUCGUCAUGGCCAGCGCCAUGGCGCCCGCGCAUCACCACCACCGCUCCCGCACCCCGCUCCUCCUCGCGAUCCUCUUGGCGGCGGCGGCGGCCGCCUCCGUGGCCUCCGCCGCGCGCGACCUCGACCUCGACGCCGCCAACCCGCUACCGGCGCCCGCAGGCCGAAACAACAAUCCCGAUCCCAACUACUACGGCUACGGCGCCGUCCCGGGCGUCGGCGGCCCGGCGGGCAACGGAGGCGGAUUCUACGGCGGACCAAGGUACGGCUUCGGCGGCGGUGGCGGAGGAGGCGGGUGGGGCGCCGGGUACGGCGGCUCCGGUGGCGGCGGGUACGCGCACGGCGGCGUGGAGGUGCCGACGGUGGUGUGCCAGGAGAAGGGCCCCUGCUACGGCAAGAAGGUGACGUGCCCCAAGAGGUGCUUCUGGUCCUACAGCCGCUCCGGCAACGGCUACGGAGCUGGAGGCGGCGGCGGGUCCUGCACCGUCGACUGCAAGGCCAAGUGCACCGCCACCUGCUGAUGAUCCGAGUACGUGCUAAUUAAGCUAGCUACCUGCUCAUGGGAGAUGGAUGUGCUAUGUGUGUGUUUGUACUAAAGAUCCAUCGAGCCCCUUGUGUUUGUUUCAGAUUAAUCUCAGAUAUGUUUAAGAACUACUAGUACUACUUGUAACUUAAUUACUGCUUAUAUGUUGUUGGUACCUACAGUAUACUGUACUUAUAUACGUUCCUGAUAAAUAAGGCGAUCUUGCAUGCAUGAUCGAUGUUGUGUAAUUAACGAUUUUUACAUGGAAUUCAUUUCCAAUUGAAGCUUCAGUAUACUAUAUAUCCAACAGGCAGGCUCGGUGUGUGUACAGCAUUGAUUCACUUGAAGACAUUCGCGCCAACAAGUAGCUGCCUUUAUGUUUUCCGAGGAACCGGAUUUUCAUUUCACACAUGACAUGCAUGUCACAUCCCUUCUUUUUAUCUCUUUAUUUAUUUGCUGCAUUAGCUUGUUGCACCGGUUGUAGCGGCAGCAAGUGUGAACAUAGAAGUUUUUUUUUUUUUUGAUUGAAACUGGAAGGGCCUCAGCCCUUACAGUGAGUUUUAUUGAACUAAAAGGAGACAGUUUGUACAUGUUAAAGGAAAAACGUUAAACGUUAAGCCAGGAAAAAAAGGAGAAUCAAGAGACAAAAAAGGAGAGGAAAAAGAUCAUAUAACUACAAUGCUCUACUGUAGCCUCUGAAUCCAUUGUUGAAAAGAUUCUGUUAAACUUUUCUUGAUUCUCAGGGAAAUCAGCCCUAGCUCUUGGAGGAACAUUGCCUUACACUCUUGAAGACCGAUCUGAUUAUUGUUGAAGAUUAGCUUGUUUCUGACCUUCCAUAUAGUCCAUAACAAUACUAUUGUAGUAGUCAUAAAGAAUUGUGAUUGAAGUUGAAUUCUGGCAGCUGCCACAUUUUGUAUUGAGCUCCCCCCUUGAAUUGUUUGAACAUUGAUGAAAGCCCAGCAUUGCCUAGCAAAGGCACAGUCCCAGAAUAGGUGCUCAACUGUUUCUUCAACUCUUUGAGAACAUAUUUCACAAUUAUAGGAUUCUAGGUUCAUAUGUUUCCUUCUUAGAAUAUUCCUCGCGCUUAGUCUAUCUUUGACAAGAAGCCAACAGAAGACUUUGUGUUUUGGUUGGCAAUGUGAUUUCCAGAUCCAUCUGUAAAUGGGCUCAGUGUUGUGCUGUCCUAAUAACAUUCUGUAUGCUGCAGCAGAACUGAACCCUUUUGACCUUCCAUUGAUGAACCAGGAGUCAUUUUCGUCAACCAGAGUAGUGCCUGAUAUUAUCUGCAAUAAGUCAUUUAGCUGGGAGUAUGCUUCUUGGGUGAUGGGCAGAUUGAGAAGCAAGCUGGCCGAGUUCAUUGUUAACGCUUUGCUGACAGAUAUUGUUUUCCUCUUGGCAAAAGAGCUUAGCUGUGGAAAUUGGUGUUCCAGGAUAUUUGGCAGCCAUUUGUCUUUCCAGAAUAGGCAUGUUUGACCAUCCUUGAUUUGAAUUGUGGUCAUUUCUUUAAAAUUUUGCAGCAGUUUAAGAUUAUCCCUCCACCAGAAGGAGCCUUUUUUGAUAUUACUAGGAAGUCUGCCAUUGCUGUAGUGUUUUUCCCAUACUAGGUGCACCCAAGGUAUGUCUUUCUUGUUAAAAAAAUUAUCUAAAUUUUUCAUUAGAAGUGCCUGAUUUUGUAGAUGCAGGUUGAUGACACCCAGUCCACCUUUCUCCUUGGUUUUACAGACUAUCUCCCAUGCAGCUUUAGGGGCUCCCCUACCAUUUAUGUUUGAGCCUCUCCAUAGGCAAUUCUUUCUGAACUUGUCAAUCUGUUUUAUCACAGCUUUGGGGAGUUCAAGAGUACACAUAUAGAAAGUCGGCAAAGAAGAAAGGACACCAUUUGUCAUUUGUAGUCUGCCAGCCUGAUUUAAUAGAGUUGAAAUGCCGCCUAGUCUUCUUUCACACUUGUUUACUAGCGGUAGGAAGUCCUGAAUUCUUGGUUUUGUGGUCCCGAGGGGGAGACCUAAAUAUGUGAAGGGUAGUGAGCCCUUAGAGCAUCCAAAAAUUCUGGCUAAAAGGUCUAAUCUUUCAUCAUUGAUGUUAAUAGGAACCAUCAUGGAUUUGUUGUAAUUCACUUUGAGCCCAGUUGAGUCCGAUGAGAGUUUUGUGAACAUCAAACAAAGAAACCAACCUAACAAAUAUAUAUGUUGAGAUGCAUGGCACCAGAAAGAGAAAUGGUCAAAGCUUUGUGAGGUCAAAUGAGUUUUAUGGGAUAAAACUAGUCUGCGUUGUUUCCAAUACAUGGAAGUAUCGAGAACUAAGAUAUGAAACCGGCACUAAGACUGACGUGUAGUUACAAAUCCAUCUAUCCAUAUUAUCCCAGAAUGGGCUAGGAUUUAAGGGGACAACUUUAAACCUAUAGAAUCAUAUAUCUCGAUUUUGAUUUUGAGAGUCGGUUCUUUAUCUUUAAGUUAAGCUAAAACUUGAUUGUGUAUUAUUGUACACUACCUCUAUCCCAAAUAAAUUAACUUGUAGCAUCACCUUUUUUUAAACUAUUCUGAUUUCGACCAACUUGAUAGUAAAGAUUAACGAUAUCUAUAUAACAUAUAACAUCCAAUAAGUGGGUUAUGAAAGUUUACACAUAUAUCAGAGUUAUGUAGUGAUUCUAAUUUGAUGUCAUAAAUAGUAAUACUCUUCUACAGAUUUAAUUAAAGUAAUUUGACUUAGGUCGACAACUUUGUAAGUUAAUUUAUUUCGAGAUGGAGAUAUUAUUAUCUAUAUGAACCAUCAUUAUUUAUUUGUCUAUUAGAAAAUAUAAAGAUUUUAUGUCAAAAGCCCAAUAAUAUAAGGUGUGAAGAAAAAAAAAAUAAGGAAGAAAAUAAAGGGCAUGGUAUUACAAUUAUUUUGUGCUUUUUCCUAUUAUGUGAAACUGUUUUGCUAAACGAGACAUCAAAACUACUUCAACUUCAUCAGUAAAGCUGCUCGUGGACCAAUUGUCAAUAAAAGUUGAUUCACUAGUGAAGCUGGGCCGUGUGCCAAACGGCCACUAUGGGCCUCUUUGGUAUGCAUUCCGUUGGAUCCGACUCUGGCUGACACAACCAUUGUAGCUUCACCGUAGACGAAAUAUGUUUUUAUCUGUCAUCUUCCCCUCUCCGGAUCUCAGAACUGGGUACACUAGGGAUCAUUUGGUAUCUCAUAUACAUAUUCAGAAAUCCAAUUUUAAGUAUUUGGAUUUAGAUAUGAUCAGAUUUAAUGAUAUUAGAUUCAGAUACAUAUACUAUGUAUAUAUAGUGUUUUGAGUAUUUAAGGAUGGAUGGAUGCUGGAAAAUAUCCAUCCCCUUUUCAUCACUAACUGGCCAAUAUCGAUGGUUGGAGACUAUUAGGGAUGGGAGGAAUCGGUGGAGAUGGGCCGCGAUUCUUUUGCUGUUUCACUCGGCGUGGAUGCAACGCAGAGCAUCGUGUGAUAUUCGCUCGCGUCUUUGGAACCUGCUGCUGCAACUCACUAUCUUAGUAGAGAGGAAAGCCAACACACAGCAGCUGCAGCCUGCCGCUGCCAAGCGAGAGCACGACGCCGCCGGCAAAGCUCGACGAUCGGAAGGAGUUGUUAAUUGGUUCAUAAUAAUUAAUUUAAGCAGCAGGUCAGGUCGACGAUCGAUAUAUUCUAUAUGUUAUUAUAUGCCUGAUGUCUGAUGUCGUGUACGUACGUCUUUGGAUCGAUGAUCAAUCUUGCAUAUAUACAGACCGACGACAGAACGCAUGCAGCAAGAGAUAGAUAGAAUAUAGCUCUAGACGACGCAUGGGCAUGGCCAAUCCGGUGAGCAUCGUGCAGGCAAUCAUAGACUUGGCGCUCAAGAUCAAGAAGGAGGUGGAGACGUUUCGGCACAAUCGGGACGACUGCCGCAAGAUCGGCGAGGUCGUGGCCACGGUGCGCGCCGUCGCAGAGGGCCUACGGAAGAGCGUGGAGGAGGAGGACGGCGGCGCGUUGGUGGGUGGCGCGCUCAAGGCUCUGAAGCAGGCCCUGGAGCGCGCCUGGGAUCUCGUGGUCGCCUGCCAGAGGAAGAACGCCGUGCUCCGUGCCCUGGAGGCCGACGCCAUCGCCGAGAAGCUGCGCCGGGUCUGCCUCGACGUCUCGCUCAACCUCAGCGCAGUGGUGCUCGCCAAAAUUAUGGAGAUUGUUGCUGCCAUUCCGGAUGCUCACCUGCAUCUGCGACAACAGGUGCGUGCGUGCGUGUGUGUGUGUGUGUGUGUGUGUGUGUCUGUAUGCAGAACUACUGUACGUUCUGCAGCUGGAGUAUAUCUAUCGACUAUCGUACUUGAAUUUAUUUCUCUAUUAAUUUCAGGUCGCAAGAUUGGUGCAGAGUUUCAGUGAUUCAACUGAUGACGAUGUUAGUUAUUAUCAAAAUGGAAGUACAAGGGAGACAAAGAAAACAGAUGAUGAUGCUAGUUAUUAUCAAAAUGAAAGUACAAGGGAGCCAAAGAAAACACAUGAUGUUGCCAGGUAAGCUAUAUGCAUAUAUACGUGCUUUUCUGCACUGUAGAAUACUGAACACUGUUUACUAGUCGCAUUUCGAUAGUAUUCAGUAUCUCGGUAUUGUUCAAUAGUCAUAUUUCAGUAGUAUUCGGUAUCUCGGUAUUUUGACGAUAUGAAUGAUGUUUAAUAACGUGACUACGAACAUGUUUUCUGCUGACAAUAAUGUAAAUUUCAGGUACUCCACCUAUUCCCCGAGCUACGCCUAUCCGGUAUGCACUCUUGCUGUGCCGUUCGUUAUCUCUGCAUCUAGUUGCCAUUGCCAUCCACGCCGUACGUACUGAUCCAUCUCAUCUCUGCAUCUGCAUGUGUUACAGAGCUACUACGACUACAAAGCUCAGAGCUACGAUGGCUACCAGGGAGCCCAACGCCAAUACGACCAACAACGCUAUGGUGCAUCUGGCUCCUUGGGCGGAGGCGCGACGGCACAAGAGUUCAUUACAAACUUCCAGACUGUUGGGAACGCUUACAUGCAGAACUACCACGCUUACCAACAGAGCUAUGAUCGCUACCAGGGAGCCCAACGCCAAUAUAUGGCCACUGUCCCCUGGGACCAACAACGCUAUGGUGCUUCUUUUUUAGCUCUUUGGGCGGAGGCGCGACAGUCAACUACCCAGGAAACUACGGGCAUGUUUGGUUCAUGGCCACACAUUGCCAUGCCUAACCUUAAGUAGUAGCCACAAGUGUGGCAAGCCAUAAACUGUGGCAAAAACAAGGUGUUUGGUUAGUGACUAAGGUUUGGCAAAAUAAAUGUGGCUGCUGUUUGGAUAGUUACCACAAAAGCAUGGCAAAAUAUUGUGGCAUGUGUUUGGUUUGCAACCACAAAUGAAUGAAAAAUACCUCAUUGUCAUAGUAGGAUCACACUCAUUUUUCAGAGAACAACAUAUAUAUACAUAUAUGUAGAAGGUUUAAGCCUAGGAGAUUUAUAUUACAAUACUAAUUACAAAAUCAGCAACUAGCCAAGCAUGGCUCAUUACAGCCCAGGCAAAGUGAGCACACAUCCAACAUGCCAUCAGUCUUCACGACAAUCAAACUAAGCACAUAAAUAAGUUUCUGGGCACACAAUAUGAAACUCAGGGGAUGUCUGGUUACCUCGUCAAUGGCCUACCCCUACCGGUGGUGCUCUCCUGGCACACAGAGGCGCGCGGCCCUCCUGCGGUGAUGGCGUGGUGGUCCGGCGAUGCACGCGGCGCCCUCAGGCGACCCCACAGCGGCGUCCUCGCGCGGCCUCCAGGCAGCGUCCUCGCGCGGCCUCCGAGCGGCGUCCUCGCGCGGCCCCGAGCGGCGCCCUCGCGCGGCCCCGAGCGGCCUCCGAGCGGCGUCCUCGCGCGGCCCCGAGCGGCGCCCUCGCGCGGCCUCCGAGCGGCGCCCUCGCGCGGCCCCGAGCGGCCUCCGAGCGGCGCCCUCGCGCGGCCUCCGAGCGGCGCCCUCGCGCGGCCCUCGCUCGGCCCUCCGGUGGCGCCUGCGCUCCGUCCCCUUCCCUACGGCCGGUGGAGGCGGACAGGAUGAGGAUGAGGAGGAGUCGGGGCGGGUGCGGUAAAAUACUGGGCGAGAUGCCUUUUUCGACGCGGUAAAGGCGCGCCACGGAGUCUGUGGCGGCAAAAUCGGCCGCCAAAGCCCGCCACACUUUACUUUCGUGAAAUCUGUGGCGAGGGCGGUUUCGUGGCUGUGGCGACCUUACUUUUGCUCUGAACCAAACACCUACCAAACAUGAUGUGGCGAACUUCAGUUUAGGCGUGGCAGCCUGUGGCCACGAACCAAACACGCCCUACAUCUUUGUGGGCAGUGGCGGAGGACGAAAAAAAAUUAAGGUAGGGCGAGGUAAGUCGAGCUAGCUUGUGCACAUCAAAUUUAGAGAAUGAAUCCCUCGGGUCAAGUCGUCAAGACAAGAAAAGGAAACAAGCAACUCUGAAGAUACCUCGUUAAACCUUUGAUCAAACUCUAUGGUAAUACUAGCAUCUAUAGCAGCAUAAAAGGUAUCAACACGAAAAUAAUGGUCAGCACAAGGAGCACUUGGCACCAGGUGUUUUGCGCGAGUACAGGAAGCGGCCCAUGUUCCAGACACAGAUUGAUUCGGGCAACUACGAUCAUUUGCCAACAGAGUUGAAGCCCCUUGGCAGGAUAUUCUAACCGUAGUGAUCUUGUUCUUGCUCCCUUUUCUUGAUCUUCCAAAUCCUGUCACUGAUUCAUUCAUAUUUGGUAUUGGAAUAUCAUUUUCACUGCAGAAUUUUGUGGCUUCCUGUAAUAGUGGCUCCCAACCAUCAUUCCUCAAAUUCAUCAAAUGUGUUUUCACAUCAAUAACCAAAGACAUGGCUUGAACAAUAUUUUGAUCCUUCCUUUGCAAGACAAGAGUCAUUUUGUGAUGCGAAGGAUUUGCAACAUCAUCUUCAUGAUGAACACAAAGCUAAACGACUCCAUGAUUUGCACUAAACCUCCUGCCCUACUUGGAUUACGCUCAUCUUCAUGCACAAUCUGUAGAACUUCAGUUACUGAAUCCCACAUUGAUUCAAGACGAAGUAAUGUCUUAUAAUGAGAACCACAUCUUGUAUCUCUAGGUCUAGUCAAGGAUGUUGCUUGAUUUUUCCCUCUGCCCUGAAGAAAUCUCUCCACUGCCCAACUUACCUAAAAGAAUUCUGCAUUGCUUAUCUAGCAACACAUCCUUCCUCUUGCAAGAUGAUGUUGUGUUAUUCACAAUCAAGGUCACAUAAAAUGGAAAUGUAUCUAGCUAAUGUGCAGUCCAGUCCAAUUUAUUGCGCGGUCCACAAAACAUAAGCCCACAAGGCAACGUGAAACACUAUUUCACUAAUAAUAAAGCGUCAAAGCCCAACAGCCCAAGGCAAAGUGCCGUGGUAGGUCAUGGUAGUUCUGGACCCGAUUCCGUGUUAGGUCAUGCUUAAGGCUAACUGUAGUUGUAACAAGAAGCAAAACGAAUAGGGGAUGUAGCUCAAAUGGUAGAGCGCUCGCUUUGCAUGCGAGAGGCACGGGGUUCGAUCCCCCGCAUCUCCAUUUUUUAAAAAAGAUUUUCCUUUUUACUUAUUUUUUCAUACUAUAUAGUAUAUUUAUAUGCAUGUAUCAAUCAAUUACAUAAACAUAUGUGCAUUGAGCAUAUAAAAAAAAAUUAAUUUUACGGGCGACGUACGUAGGUAGCUGAAUGGCUGUGUGAAUGCAUGCAGGAUAGGAUGCUGUCCAAUGCAAAGGACCAAAAAAUGCUUUGCGUCCGAGGGCAUGCGCGUCGUCGGUCAUCUCUGACCCUACGGAUGGACAGACAGGGUCAGCUACUCCGGGUCAGUCAACGCCUUUGAAUUGAAUCAUCAUCACAUUCCAUUCCAAUUCACGCGUGUUGGGACAUAUAAUUUUUAAGAUUCAAAAAGUUUUUAAGAUUCUUCGUCAUAUCGAAUCUUGCGGCACAUACACGAAACAUUAAAUAUAAACUCUAAAAAAAUAACUAAUUACACAGUUUAACUUUAAAUCACGAGAUGGGUCUAUGGUUAGAAACUAAUUACUAAAUACAAACGAAAAAUACUACUAUAGCCAAAUCUAAAAUUUUUUGGAAACUAAAGCCUUGUUUAGUUCAUCCUAAAAAUCAAAAACUUUUUAAGAUUUCCGUCACAUCGAAUUUUGCGGCAUAUACAUGGUGCACUAAAUAUAGAUAAAAAUAAAAACUAAUUGCACAUUUUGUCUGUAAAUCACGAGAUGAAUCUGUUGAGCUUAGUUAGUCUAUGAUUGAAUAAUAUUUAACAAAUAAAAACAAAAGUACGAAAUUAAAAAUUUUUGAGAACUAAACAAGGCCUAAACAAGGUAUGAACCCAACGGCUACUACAGCUACAGCUUGAUCAGCCUCAGCCUGCUUGACCAGCCAUUGCAAUUGCAAUUGCAUUGCAUCCAAGGCGCUGCUGCAGUCAGCCAUGAGGUCACGCCGACGCCGGAGCCCAUACCGCACGCGCGGAUACACGACACUAUGCUCAUCGAUGAGCUCAUUAUUACACGUGUAUCGCAUUGGUUGUCAGAAUAAGAUAACGACCCGUGUACUAUUUCCAAAUGAACAAUGUUGUUUUUAAAUAAAUCAACAAAUGAUACUUUCAAUUAUAGUUUUUGGGUAAAACGGACGAGGACAAAACACGAUGGGAUAGAAUAGAGGAGACCAAUUUCUUAUUGUAUUUUGGAAUCGAACGGAGGGAUCCGAGUGAUAAUUUCACAGCAACACCAGAUGACAACCAAUUACCACUACUGUUUCUUAAUUUAUUACUAGUACUGUAUUACACACCUACGUCUAUCUAUCAUACAGAGACAGUAAAAUUAAAAGGCGAUCGAAAGCUAGCUCCAUCUGCUGCUUAAUUAGGUUUCCUCCUCCUCCUCCUCCUUUUUUUUGUUUUUUAUACGUAUUAUUUUAGAAGGAAAAAAAGAUUGUAUUUAGAAGGAAAAAAGAAACAAAAACAAAGGAUGCUAAUUUCUUCGUCCUCUUUUCCGUCGCACACAGGCAGGAAGCUAGCUAGAGGAAAGCGCCGUGCUGGGGCUGCGCCGCCGCCGCCUCCACCGCGCCGGCCAUGGGGAACGAGAACCACGGCGCUGGCGCGCCGUACACCGGCUGCUCUCCACCGCCACCACCGGGGCGCACGGGCUGCGGCUGCACCGGCGGCGGCGCCGCCACGCCCGCGCGGUGGUGCUGGUGCUGGUGCUGCGGGCGGCGAAGGGCCGUGGGCGGCGCGCCGGUGAGCCUCUGCACGAGGUCCCGGAACUCCCGGGGCUCCACGCGGUACACCUUGGGCGGCGGAGGAGGAGGAGCUGCGGCUGCGGACGCUCCUCCGCUGCCGCGUGGCCACGGCCGGGCGUUGGCGGGCGGCUUGUUCUGCGCCGCGGUCCUCAGCGCUGCUGCUUCGUGGCCCUGCGGCACCUCCAUGACUUUCUGUAUGCUUUGCUUGCUUGCUGCUGGGGUUGGAUUGGAAGAACCAAUUAAUAAGAAGGAAGUAGCUGAGGGGAGGAGGGGUUCCUGGAAGUGCAAAGCCGGAGAGACAGAGAGAAAGAGAGGACUCGAGAGCGUGUGGAGUGUGUCAUACAUACAUAUUUAUAUAUAUACAGCUCCUCUGGAUCCCCUAGCUUAGCUAGGCUCGUCGUCGUCGUCGUCGUCGUCGUCGUCGUGGUGUGUAGGAUGGGAAGGUGGUGGCGGGCGAGGGCCAGAGCGACACAGACACAGAGACAGACAGACGACGCACCACCGCCACGUGGUUGGAAUUCGAUCGAAAUUAAGGAGGUGAAUGAAUGGGACGGUCAAUGCUGGAAGGCGCCCGCCCGCCGUGAGAAUGCCUCUCUCCCUCCUCGAUCUGUCUGUCUGCUCCUCUCUCUCUCUCUCUCUCUCUCUCUCUCUCUCUCUCUCUCUCUCUCAAGCAUCAUCAAUAAUACUGUAAUACUGUAAUCAGCUCAGGGAUGGAUGAUGACAGGCUCAUGAUCAGUUGGCCGCCGGAGUAUAGAUUAUUUGCAUGUUGAGGCAGCUAGGUGUUUCCUCAGAUGCAUCGCCGCCAUAAUAUUCCAUCACCACCUGGACCUCGGUGUCACCGACCACCUAAGCUAAACUGUACUAUAGGCUUAGGGGUCAUCCGCUUCGAUGCGGUGCUGAUGUCAUGUCAUAUUCCUCACCUCCUCCGACUACUACUGACACAUUUAUGGAAUAUUAAAUAUAGUCAAAAUAAAAACUAAUUACACAAUUUGUCAGUUAAUUAUAAGAUAAUUUUUUUUUAAAAAAAAUCUAGUUAGUACAUGAUUAAUAUUUGUUAAAUAAAAACGAAAAUACUAAAGACCGAAAUUUAAAAUAUUUUCACAACUAAAUAAGGCCACUUGCUUCCGAUCCUCGGCUGCAUGCCUCCCUGCCGAAGUGGACGAUGAUGGAUGCUUCCUUCUCUCUUUUAUAAUGUCCAUCAAAAUAUAUAUGAUCAACUACCAAUCAAAUUGGUCGACCAACUGCUUAGCCACUGUCCACAACCUGGUCUUUAAUCAAGUUAAACUCUACUAUAUGAUUUCUCUCUUCAUACAAAGUGUUUACGUCAUUCUCCACUAAGUGAUCCACUAAAUGAUGUUCUACCUCUUCGUACAAGGUGUCUACAUCAUUUUCCACUAAGUCCAUAUCAUCCCAUAUUAAUUACAAAAAAAUGGCCAUGUCAUCUAUAUCAUGUGAAAUACAUUAAAUCUUUAAUCUAUUAACAUAUAAGUCAUGUACAUACAAUAUUUGUUUUAUCAACUAUUUCUCUAUAUAUAAUGUAAUCAAAUAUUAGUUUUUCUUCUACCAGCUUAGCAAUUUUUACUAGAUCUGAUACAAUAAAAUACAUGCAAAUUGAAUUCAUAUAUAUAUAUAUAUAUAUAUAUAUAUAUAUAUAUAUAUAUAUAUAUAUAUAUAUAUAUAUAUAUAUAUAUAUUAAAUACUAUAUAGUAGUACUAUAUAUGUAAUGAUUUAUUUUUAAGAAAAUUUCACAGCAACACGCGAGGAAUUACUCAAAAUAGUAGUUUUAAAACAAAUCUUUUGCCUACUCCAAUAAUAGUUUUCUUCUUUAUUGGUUUGUAAAAACAAACGUGCCGUACGUUGUUGAUGUAGUAGAUGCAUGCAGAGCCGACACAACUCCCUGCUAUGGUCAGCCAUCCUCGGUUUUCCCAAGCGCAGAUGGAUUGGAAGCUAGUAGGGUAAUUUGUUUUUUUUUCAUCAUAUAAAAAAAAACAAGAUUAAUAUAUAAUGGAAGAGAUUCCCUAAAAGCAGAUCAGAUACGGCAGGACUGCUGGAUUGUUGAUCACGCCCGGCGCGCCGCCACAGCAGACAAAGAAUAGUAGACUGGACCAAAACUCGAUCCUGGACAUUUCCAUCGUCGGUUGCGUCGUCGUCGUCUCAGCAGCAUUAUUAUCACCCAGUCAAACAGAGGUGGCUACGUACCUAGGAUAGUCUACCAGUACCACAACACGUUCCAUGCAUGUAUGACACUUGUGAUGUAGUUAGGCCUUGCCUGUGUUUGAUGGACACUCGUGUGUAGUAGGAAGCAGUAGCAACUAAACCUUGGAGGGCUUGUUUAGUUCACCCCAAAAACUAAAAAAAUUUCAAGAUUUUCCGUCACAUCGAAUCUUGCGGCACAUGUAUUAAACACUAAAUAUAGAUAAAAACAAAAACUAAUUACAUAGUUUGCCUGUAAAUUGCGAGAUGAAUCUUUUGACCCUAGUUAGUUUAUGAUUGGACAAUAUUUACCACAAACAAAUGAAAGUGUUACAGUAGCGAAAUCCAAAAAAAUUUUACAUCUAAACAAGGCCUUAUAUAAGAAACCGCAAUAGCUAGAUGUUUAAAUAGUUUAAAAUAAACUAUAAGCUAGACUACUAAUUUAGAUCAGUUAAACCUUUUUAACGGCUUGCAAGUUACUCCAUUUCAGUCAAUCCAAAUGUCGCCUUGCUUAGUUGCUUGCUUCAUUCACUCUAACAAUGUACUGUACGGAGUAACUAUAAUAAUAUCUCCACACCACUUUUUCCUACUUAGGGCCUAUUUAGUUUCCCAUUUGAGUUAAUUGGCCCAUCCUUUUGUAGAGCUAAACACCAUCCAAAACUUUUGAUAAAAUAGUUACCAUUUUGCAUUCUGAAUUUUGGCCUCAUGUGAACAAAAAAACCCCAAAAGGGUCUUCAAUACUCCCACCUAAUCGUAAAAAUUUUGGUAUUUUGAUGAAACUUAACAUAACUCUAAAAAUUUUGGUAUUUUAUAUUUCAUUGUUCUAAAGUAAUUGAUAUUUUGUAUUUUAUAUUUUAUGGGAAACUAAACAGAGCCUUAUUAAGAUAAGAAGGUAACUAUAUAUAGUAAGUAAAAAUAAGAGAGGACACAAAGGGAAGGAGGUGACGAUGAACGGUAUAUGUAUCAAAGAAAAACAGGACCAGAAUUAUUGGAAGCUGUGGGCCUACAAUCUAGCAUUAUUAAUAAAUAACAUAUUCACUUAAGGUUAUUUAUCGAAUCUGCUAAUAGUAUUUUCUUAGUAAUGGUGUUUCGAACAAACGAACAUUUAAAAUACAAUACAGGUCAAUUCCCAGCACGGCACUCGGUGGUAGCAGACCGGAACUUGCAUAUAUACUACCAUCGGAUGGGUCAUGCAUGUGCGUCAAAUUAAACAAAUAAAAUACAAUACUGAAUGAGCAAUAUACUAAACAACGCAGCAGGUGCAGCGCCAUGCAUGUUUCACGUGUUCAAACAAAGACAGUACAGGUCACGACAAUUUUCUGGUGUCCUGGUUGUACUAGUGUUGGAGCCACUUCAAUAGGGUGAAAAAUUUUUCAAGAUUUUCCGUCACAUCGAAUCUUUAGACGCAUGCAUAGAGUAUUAAAUAUAAACGAAAAUAAAAACUAAUUGCACAGUUUGGUCGAAAUUGACGAGACGAAUCUUUUGAGCCUAGUUAGUCCAUAGUUGGACAAUAAUUACCACAAACAAACGAAAGUGUCACGAAAUUUUUCACUUCGGCUACUAAACAAGGCCAGGCUUCCUAGAAGGUAUUUAUAAUACAUUCCAUGUCAACAAUAUAAUAAUUUGUAUGUAUUAAAUUGAGCUAAUGUCAAAGCAAUAUUAAAAUUAAAGUGAUUUGUGGCUUGAACCGUUACGAAGGGGUACGAGAUUAAAGACCGUUUCCCCUGCCCGAGUUCUCGUGACACGUACAGUGGCGCCCUUGGAGAGACAUGUGGGGGAGGGUCGGCUUGAUGGCUUGAUGGUGAGCCGCAACGUGAUUGUGGCCGCCGCUCCCGUGCCUGCCACGUGCUGCGCCCAUAUAUGUACGCGCACAUGAGGUGCGCAACCACCACAGCUCACGGCACACACACACGCAGGAGCCUCCUCCACUGUUUCUGCCCCAUUAGUAAGGCUGAUUUAGUUUAGCUUGGCUCGUUAAGAUAGGGAGCCAGUGGUGCACGUACGUGUGUGUGUGCGCGUGCGUGUGGAUCGUAGUAGACCGGACUCCUCACACGAGUCAAGGCCCCCAACAUACGCCGGACGACGACGACGCGGCUUCGCUUGGCUUGCAUGGCAUCCAUUUCUAAAUUCUGCAGUCAAACAAAGACGCGCGCGCCCGUCAGGCAUGCAGUUAUAGCUUUUUUUUUUUGGGUUCAGCAGCCACGCACUGACGCACGCGGCGGCUUCUCUGUCUACGUAAGCAGCUGCUGAGGACGUAGUCCUAAAAUUUUCAUUCAGUUUCAACAGUCCACUGCAUGUUUCGAUUAUGGAAUGCAUGAGAUCACCGAUAAUUGUUUUAAAAAAUAUAAAUAAAGACGGGAUGAGCCUUGAUACUUGUGGGUCAUUGUCCGUGCAGCGAAUCAGCCUUUCUUGCCAUACGUAGAAGUCGUUUAGGAUAGCGAUACGGUCUCAAAAAUACAACUUUGACCUUUUAUUUUUAUAUAAAUAUUUAUGAAAAAUGAUAUAUGUAUAUUUUUAUUAAAAUAUUUUUCAACAUAAAUCUAAUCAUAUAAUUUUUAUUUUUAAAAACUCAACAAUUUAAAAGUUAUUAUGAUUUAUAUUAUCGAUGUUUGACUCAAAUCUUGUCCAAAACGACUUCUAAAUUCUAUAUGGAGGGAAUAAGCAGCAGCAGCACACAACCCUUUUUUGUUUGGAAAAAAAGUCUACUUUCCCUCCCCCAACUUUUAGGAAAGUUCGUUUUUCCUCCCUUAACUCUAAACCAGGCAAACCACCUCCUCAACUUUUCAAACCGUGCAUUUUACCUCUCUAGAGUGGUUUUGAAGGCGGUUUUGCUACAGUGAAUGGUGGUUUUGUUAUAGUGACGGUGGUUUUGUCUAUUUAUUUUUUAAUUAUUUCAGCCGAAUCUUUAAAACAUCAUAGUAAAUCACAGAAAAAUCGUAAAAUAGAAAAUCCAAUUUUUUAGACUCUACAUAAGUAGAUCUACAUAGUGAAUAUAUAAUAUGGUAUGCUUUAGUAUAAAGUUUUUUCUAUAAAGGUUUUGUCUUUUUAUUUUUUUAUUUGGCCGAAUCUUUGAAAAAUCAUAGAAAAUCGUAGAAAAUUCAUAAAAUAGAAAAUCUAAUUUUCUUGGACUCCAUAUGAGUAUAUAUACACAAUAAACGUAUAAUAUGGAUAAACACCUAAUUUUCUCUCCCCCAAUUUUUCUAUUAUUUUUCUGUAAUUUACUAUAAUUUUUCAUUAAUUUAGCCAAAAUAAAAAAAAAAAAGACAAAACCUUUAUAGCAAAAACUUUGUACUAAAGCAUACCAUAUUAUUUAUUCAUUGUGUGUAUCUACUUAUGUGGAGUCCAACAAAAUCACUUUUUUUUAUUUUAUGAUUUUUCUAUAAUUUACUAUGGUUUUUUAAAGAUUCGGCCAAAAUAAUUAAAAAAGAAAAAGGCAAAACCACUCUCACGGUAGCAAAACCACCGUUCCUUGUAGAAAAACCGCCUUCGAAACCGUUUCAGGGAGGUGAAAUGCAUAGUUUGAAAAAUUGAGAAAGAUGGUUUGCCCGGUUUUAGAGUUGAGGGGGGAAAAGUGGACUUUUGCAUCCCACGGCAGGGUCCCCUGGGCCGGCCUAGCAACGUUGUCGGAUUUCGCCCAAGGCCCAUCACACCGACGUUUGCAAAUCAUCAGAGGAGUAGGGUGUUGCUCCAAAAAAGAAAAAAAAAAUCAAAGGAGGAGUAGGUUUAAUUCGACGAGUUACUUGGGGUAACUCGUAAAUUUAUUUAAACCUAUUUGCAAAAUUGGACACGAAUAAACCUGUAUACACAUUCCGCCGACGCAUGCAUGCAUAUAAAGCAGGUAGGUAGGUACGCACGGGCAGGGGCAGCGUGAUGGCCAUGGCGGUGUCCCUUUCUUCUCCUUCAAUUCGUUUGGUUUCCAGCCACGUAAAUACGCACGGCAUCGUGAUCAUGACCAUCCAUCCGUCCGUCCGUGCAACGAUAGGAUCGGAUGAAUGAAAAUGACCCUGCUUACCUACGUACGAGCUAGCUAGCUAGCGUUUGCACUUGUGUGUGCGUACGUGUACGUAUAGUACGUGCAAAGAUCUGACUCCCAUCCCAUACUUGCAUGUACCUACGCCCCGGACGGCAAUGAACGUACCUAGACUUUGAGCAUGGGCGAAGCUAGCAAUGAACGAAACCAGUGUGGUGUAGCGGCAAAAUAAUACCUAAAUAUUUCUUGUGAUAUAUAGUAUGGUAAAUAUUAGUCAAAGUACUAUUGAAAUUUGCCUGUUUAGUAGUGCUAGCGCACUAGGGUAAUAUAACAUAAGAGCAACUCUAGUAGAGCGCCCCUAGUUUAAGCUCUCGUCCUAUAUUUGAGAGUUUGAAUAAAAAAAUACACUCCAAUAGUACUCUUCUAGAGCCCUUAAAUUUGAGAGGACCCUCAAAUCCUCCUACCACCCCUCAUUCCUAGGGUCCUAAACCAAGCCAUCAAAAGUUUGUUUAUAUGGUUUCCCGUGCGUGCUAUACUUCCCGCUCGCACAUUGCUCGACCAGGAAGGAAGGGGCGCCACCGGAUCAGAGACACGCGUACCUUGCAAACCGGCAUCCCUGGUGUCUGUCCCUCCAUGGCGACCACCCAUCUCUAGCUUCUUCAUUCCCUCCUCGGCGAACCAAGCAAAUAGAAGUGUGCAUCGCCAGAUCUAUCCACGUGGUUUCUCUGACCCCCUCCUCGUCGAAGACCAUCUCUUGCGGCACCCUUCCCUCCGCAAACCUCCCUCGUGGCACCCAACCAUACGUGGCCGAGUUCCUCAAUAUGAAAGAGGAUAAGAAAGAGAUUCACGGGUAGGUCCUAUGUAUCAUUUCCUUUAAGAAUGAAUUUAAGGGCCAUGUUUUCAGGAUUCCUACUGGCACUGCAGGAGUGACGAUGAUGAGGACGCUAGGUGUGGCCGCCACUCGCUAGUGACGACAACAACUCGCCGCCAUUGCAGAUGUCAGCGAUACAGACAUCGCCCCCGGUAGUGCCCUUAGGGCUUCACCAAUGGAAGCAUAUAAACUUAUUAGCCUCAACUAAAAGCUGCAGUCCACAUAUACAUCAAACAUCUAGGCUUCCAAAACUCUCAACCCAACAACACCAACAUUUGAGCAUGACCCCACCGUUUUUAUUCUCUGCAUAAAGUUGUUUUUGCCUUUGCGUCAUGUUUUUGAUUGCUUGAGACCCCUCCACCGCGAAACUCAAUGGCUGCCUGCAGCUUUUCUCUGACGAGGACAACGGUACCUCUGCGAAGCAAACAAUAAAUAUGAUAUAGAAGCUUUGAUCUGAUCUGGACACUGAAACUCCCAUCCAACAUGGCGCGUUGGGGAAGCCCUUACCCAUAGUUGUCUACCUAGCUGACACAGUUGUUGCACGGGAGAUGAAGCUAGCUGACACACAGUUUUUUUUUUAAUGAUUGUCGGAAGCAACCAAAUCCAGUAAAGUAAAGAAAAUAGAUGACGAUCAAACUGGAAGGGACCAAACUUCAGACAACUCGAUCUUGCGAGCUCCACUCUCUCUCAGAUGGGCUUGGUAACGGCAUAUAUUGACCAGAAUGGUCAGGGGAAAGUAGAGGGAAUGUGCAGUACCGUGGGGGCCAACGAUAGCCUUCUCUCUCUCUCCAUUUACCUCUAAUUUAUCUCGAGGAUAUUAUAUUACCUCUACCCGUAUGUAUCUAUACUUUUAACAACGUCCGCAAUCUCAUUAGGAGCGAAAAGUGAACCAUUUGACUGGAUUCGAAGUCUUGUCUCUCUUGUGUCUCCACCAUCAUCCCUGACUCUCAAUCGUCAAGUGUGUCUCUUAUGGAUAGUUUGGCUAGUUCUUGCGUCUCUUUUGGUGUCGUCCCCUAUCUCUUCUAUAUUUUCUCCGUCAUAGCGAGAGCAUCAAAAAGACACAAGAGACAAUAUGAUUUGUAGUAUACGUAGCCCUUAAUUAUCGGACUCGAUGUAACUAAUCAUGAUGAUGUAGUAACCGUGGUCAGUAUAAUUGUAUUCGACGAUGAAGCCACACAUGCAUAUACAAGGGCUAAAAUUUUGUGCAAUAAGGGUGGAUAAAAAAAUAAAUGACAUUAGUAUACACUACCGGAAUCCGGCUCUUUACCGAGUGUCUAGUGGUUUGCCAAGUGUUUUUUAGGUACUCGGCAAAGAAGCUCUUUGUCGAGAGUGCAAACAAAAAACACUGAGGCAAAAAAACACUCGGCAAAAGAGGGUUCUUUGCCGAGUGUCAAAAAAAACACUCGGCAAAGAACCCUCUUUGCCAAGAUUUUUUUUGACACUCGCUAAAGACCUCCUUUGCCGAGUGUUAAAAAAAUAGUUGACAAAGAAAAUUUCAAAUCAAAUUUUGAAGCCCUAGAUAAAUUCAAAUCAAAAAGUUUUAAACUACAAAGUUGUAUAACUUCUCAAGAUCUACAAUCUUUAUUUUAACCAUUUCUUCAUUUGACAAAGUGCAAAUAAAUUUAUUCACAAAUUUUAUAUAAGAUUUGUGAAAAAUGUUAGAAUUAGUGUGUCAGAUGAAUAAAUGAUCAAACAACAAAAAUAAACUUUGUAGAUCUUGACAAGUUAUGAAAUUUAUAGUUUACAAUUUUUUCAUUUAAGUUUAUCUUGUCAUUCAAAACUACAUCUUUAUUUAAAAAUUUUUAAAUUCAAUUUUUUGAAAUGGCCUCGGAUGGAAAAACUCCCUAAAUAAACUUUGUAACUCUCAAAAAGUUAUGAAACUUUUUAUUUGAUAACUUUUUGAUUUGAAAUCAUCUUAUCAUGGAAAACUAUAUCUUUAUUUGAAAAUUUUUAAAUUUGAUUUUCUAAAAUUACCUCGGAUGAAAAAACUCCCUAAACAAACUUUGUAGGUCUCAAAAAGUUAUAAAACUUUGUAGUUGAUAACUUUUUUGAUUUCAAAUUAUCUUGUCAUGUAAAAACUAUGUUUACAUUUCUCAAAUUUAAAAUUCAAAUUUUGUAAACGACUUCGGAAGGAGAAACUCCCUAAAUCAAAGUUAUAGAUCUCAAAAAGUUAUGAAACUUUGUAGAUGACAACUUUUUGAUUUGAAAUAGUUUAGAGACUCAAAUAUUUAAUUUAUAUGUGAUUUAGUAUAAUAUAUGAGGAACCGAAACGCAAUGUAGACACAAGUGAUGGUAUAAUAUAUGAGGAAUCAAAACGCAAUAUAGACACAAUUGAUGGUGUGGUGUAGUGGUUAAGGAGUGAGGUGUGUGAGAGAGGUCUCAGAUUUGAAUCCCACCUGCGGAAUAAUUGCGAAUUUUGUGCGAAAAAUGCCAGAAUGGUAGCCCUCCCCCAAAAAAACAAAAAUAAAUCUUAUUUUUUUCGAGUUUUUUUCAUUUUCAUUUUUGCCGAGUGUCAGACAUUCGGUAAAGUUUUUGUCGAGUGUCCGAUAAAAAACACUCGGCAAAUACCCCUUUGCUGACCAGAAAUUUGCUGUGCACUCUUUGCCAAGUGUAUUUAGGUCAUUGUCGAGUGCUAGAGACACUCGGCAAAACCUCUAUAUCCCGUAGUGAUAUAGCUUGGUAGGAGUUAGUACAUGAUUGAGUAGUAUUCUAAGUUCACUUGAAGUACAAGUUGUACAGCGUACUAGAUCUAAACGAAUUAGUGUACCCUUAGGAUACUAUUUCUAUCUCUAGUGAUGCACUUGUAACACAGUCCAUCAGCAAAACUAUACCUCUUAUAAAGCUACUAAUCUCUACUACAAAUUCUAUCUCAACAUGCAGACCACCGAUAUCAUGUCCCUAUCCAUAUCAUCUGCAACUAAUAGCCAUCCAUAUUAUCCCACUACUUUUCAAUAUCUUCAUACAAGUUAUCCACACCAUCUCCACUAAAUCUUAUUCUAAAAUUUCCACAAUAUUCUCUACGUGGCAAUACACAGGGUAUCUUCUAAUUAUAUAGAUAUAAUUAACGCUUGCCUUUUGUUGUGAUGUAAAAAAUAUUGGUUGUUAAUUAAUUUUUUAAGCAUCAAGAUUAUACCGGUAGGCACUAAUUGAAAUUGUAGAGGCAAUUAGAUUAAAUUAAUGAUGAGGGAGGGAGGGUUAGAAUUAGAUUAUUACGUUAGAAAUAUGUGGACAGAUUUUAAAUGCUAAAAAUGUGUAUAUUCAUAGACGGAGGGAGUUCUAUAUGCGGACGAUAUUGAUUUCAUAUUGUGGAGCUGUUAAAAAAUAUAUAUUGUAAACAAUGUGCAUCGUAGGAAAUACGGGGGUAUUUAACCUCCUUUAUUAGGCUACUAUACAUACAUGAAAAAUGGAGGGGCUUAUUUGGAAAAGGAAAUAGAGAGAAACAAGUGUAUUGACUAGUAACCACUGCUUGCUGAAAACUGUUUGCCUGUGAUCGCUGAUUCUGAUUUGGACUGCACCGGUGCAAGGCCUCCUGCGCUGCCUGCCUGGCAACGCACGCCGGAGAGCCGCGACGCCCCCCGUCCACCUCCUCUCCCCUGCGUUGUCUUCUCCGUCUCUCUCUCUCUCUCUCUCUUGUCGCCGCCGCCGCCGCUGGCUGGAUUAAUCGGUCGAUCGCGCCUGCCGAUGCAUGAGUUGCUGAGCUAAUCGAGCUGAGGCCGCCCGCCGCCCUUGAAGAAGACGAAGGCGAAGACGACUCCUCCCAGGCCGGCAGGCCCUCCUUCUUUCUUGAUCGAAUUGAAGCAGCAUCUCCCAUGGUACGGUUCCAUCCCUUCCCACUCUGCUUGUUAGUAGUAUCACCACUUUUUUUUUUUUCCGACCCCUGCUGUGGCGUGGUGAUCUCAUCAUCUUCUCCGCCGUCGGCCGUCGCACCGCGUGAAGCUGCGUGCGUUCGUCAUCUUUAUGCGUUUCUUGACGCGUCGCCAACGAAUCCAGGAUUCCUGCGAUCUUCGUCCCUUUCCCUGCGCCGCGCAACGAAAAUGUUUUUUUUUUUUCUUGGGUCCUUCAUUCACAAAGAAAACCGCUGUUCCAUUCAGCUUCAGUUCAGAAAUAACCGCUGCUCUGCUGUUACAACCUUCCUUCACGAUCGACCAAUCCAAAGCUCCCAUCUUCUAAUUCCACAGUCUCAGCAAUUCUCAAUUUCCCAUACGAAUUCUUGUCUGAAAAAACAAAAAAUCUCUCCUUUCAGCUGAUCGGCAUGCCGCAGGGAGCAGCAGCAACAGCCGUGGACAGCAACGGCAAGGACGGCGGCGGCGGCGCCAACCCCACUAGCACGGCCCGGCCAGCGGCGGCGCUGCCCCUGAAGCUCCUCCGCCCUCUCCUCCUCUUGGCGGUGCUGGGCACGGGGUUCCUCGCCGUCGUGGUCCUGUUCCUCGGCGGCCCGACCUACUCGGCCAUGCUCCCGCGGCUGUCCCUCGCCCCGGACGCCGUGCUGCCUGCGCCAGCGUCGGCGGGGAAGGCGCCGCUGGACCGGUGGAAGCGGGCGCCCGCGUCCGCCUGGCACAACAUGACCGACGAGGAGCUGCUGUGGGCGGCGUCGUGGCGGCCCAGCGUCCGGCGGUACCCGUACCGCCGCACGCCCAAGGUGGCCUUCAUGUUCCUCACCCGUGGCCCGCUGCCGCUCGCGCCCCUCUGGGACAGGUUCUUCGCCGGCGCCGGGGACGCCGCCCUCUUCUCCGUCUACGUGCACGCCACGCCGGGUUACCGCCACGACUUCCCGCCGGCGUCCGCCUUCCACCGCCGCUUCGUGCCCAGCCAGGUACGCCACGCCACGGCUCCUCUUCGUUGACGUGUGCUUUUGCUCGCAAGUUUCUGUUUCGCUUUGACGAUCCUGCCAACCAUGUCCGUCCAUGUUGCACGGCGCGAACGCGAGCGCGACGAUGAAAAAUAGGCACGCACGGUGUGGUGUGGUGUGGUGUGGUGUGGGUCGUGGAAUGUGGAUGGACGCCGGAUCGGAGAGGGGGGAAAUUUUAGUCAGAGCUGAAAAUGACGGCCAUUUAAAAGUGCUAGCUAGUCUUUCUCCGUCCUGUCCUACAUACCAGAAUUUCAGAUGCCGGUCAAGUUGAUGCAGCGCAACAAGAUGAGAUGGCAUCACCAUGGAAUCUUCGCCCUUUGACAUGAACAAUAUAAUCUCACAUUCACUUUCACUUUCUAGUGCUUUGCUAUCUAUGAUCACUACUGAAAAUUCUCUGCUUUUUUUUAUUUCCAAACGCAAAUUGUACUGUCAUUAGUAGAAGAACACUGAGCUGCCACUGCCAUGCCACUGACUGACCAACUGCACUGCAUAUAUACAUGAACAAUGACAGGUGGCUGAGUGGGGCAAGGCGAGCAUGUUGGACGCGGAGCGGCGGCUGCUAGCGAACGCGUUGCUAGACCCGGCGAACGAGCUCUUCGUGCUGCUCUCCGAGUCGUGCAUUCCACUCUACGGCUUCCCGGCGGUGUACAGCUACCUGACGCGGUCGAGGGCGAGCUUCGUCGGCGCGUUCGACGACCCUGGGCCGGCAGGCCGUGGGCGGUACCGGGCUGGGCUGGCGCCGGAGGUGCGGCGGGAGCAGUUCCGGAAGGGCGCGCAGUGGUUCGAGCUGGACCGGGAACUCGCCGUCGACGUGGUCGCCGACGAGCGGUACUACCCCAAGUUCCGGGAGCACUGCCGCCCGCCGUGCUACGUGGACGAGCACUACCUGCCGACGGCGCUCUCCAUCGAGGCGCCCGCGCGGAUCGCCAACCGCAGCGUCACGUGGGUCGACUGGUCCCGCGGCGGCGCGCACCCGGCCACGUUCGCCGGGAAAGACGUCGACGAGGCGUUCCUGAAACGGCUCACGGCGGCGCCCGCGAAGCAGAACUGUACCUACAAUGGCCAGCCGUCGGAGGUGUGCUUCCUGUUCGCUAGGAAGUUCGCGCCCAGCACGCUGCGGCCGCUGCUCAGGCUCGCGCCCAAGCUGCUAGGAUAUGGCUGACUGUCACUGUCACUGUCACUGCUCUGCUCUGAAUCUGAAUCUGAAUUUUCUCACAGGGAACCAUACUCUGCUUUAACAACUUUCUACUAGUAUGACUAAACAGAUGUGGUUGAUUGGUAUAAAAAGCUGCUCUAGACCCCAUGAUCGUCAUCAUCCAUGUAUAGAUAUAAUAUACUAGCUCCAUGGCUUACACAAUUACACCAGCGGAACAUCAGUUUUUGGCUCAAAGGAAGAGUGUUGAGAAAACAAGCAAAUCGAGUGUUUCCACACAUAUCAAGGCCUGAAUUUUAAACCAUCACAUCAGGAUCUGACCUCCAUCUUCUUCUUUUUUUGAAUAAAUGACCACCAGAGUAUGCCUAGUUUCAUUUAACAGAGUAGAGGCAGAGUAGAGUGCAUUACAACCCGUUCAACAUAUGGUGUGACGUUUCUAUCGAUUGCCUAUAUAACAGGCAAACUGGACUAUGAGGUCUACCCUCUUCGUGCUGGACUAUGGUGUUAUGCAAAAUGAGCAAGGCGUGACCUCCAUUUAUAGUCCCUAGAUUUUCUGAUGUGCAUUCCUUACCUGAAAAAAAAAAUCAUCCUUUUUUUUUGGCCGACUGGGAUGCUUUGGUUUGAAACGUUUUCUUUGCCUCCUUAAAGCAGCGACAUGUAUAUUAUUUGUGACAAGUUGGACCCCAUGAUUGUAUCUACGACGUUUGUAAUGUUUAGAAGUUAGGCACUUAAACACGGUCUCAUAGCAGAUGAACCAGCCUAUUAUAUUUUCCUAUUUUAUCUUUUUUUAUUUUCCUUUCUUUUCUUCUAUUUAUAAUUUUAUAUUUUACUUUUUGUGAUGUUUAUGUAAUAUACAUGUAAUAUUAUAUAAUUAAUGUAUUUUUGAGAUCGGCGAGUACAAAUGUGAUAUUCUAUGACGUAUUUUGUGAUGUUCAGUAAGCAUACAUUGAUAUUCUAUGAUAUAUUUUGUGAUGUUCGGUAUUAUUUUUCUUCUUCUUUUUUUACUCUAGUUAAUCACUUCACUAAUUUUAUCAUUUUAUUUUAUAUUUUCAUGAUAUUUGUGAUGUUCAUGUAUUAUACAUAUACUAUUUUAUGAUAUAUUUAGUGAUGCUUGUGUAAUGUUAAUGUGAUGUUCUAUGAUGUAUUUGUGAUGUUCGGUAGUAUAUAUAUCGAUAUUCUAGGAUAUAUUUUAUGAUGCUCGGUAGCAUAUUUUUCUUUUUAUUUGGCUAUAAUUAAUUACUUCACUAAUGACAUGGCCAGUUAAAGUAAUAUUUGUCUUAAUUAUCGAUAGUUUAUUUUUAUUUUUUAUUAAAUAUGUGUUAUAUAUGGACUUGGUUGUUUCAUUUUUGUAUGUUAUUAAAUAUUUGUUGGCUUUCAAAUACUCCAGCACAUAUUGUGUUAGGAUUUUGUUUUCAAAUGAAUUCAUUUAAGAAAGUGCAGCCUGGUCUUUAUAAAUUUUACUGUUUGUUACUUAAUACUUAUGAAUUUCUCAUUGGGCUUUACCAGCCAUUAAAAAAGCCUUUUUUUUUUAUUCAUUUGUAUUUAGUUCUUUGAUUUUAUAGCAAGACGUUUGAUUGCACACGGAUAGUUCUUAGUAGAUCAACGUGCAGUAUCUUUUUAAUAUGUACUAGUUUACUGAAAUCUUUGAUGCAGACUAUAGUGCACUCUCUUUGCAGCUCAUUGAUUGAGACUAAAACAUGCAAGUUAUACAAGCAUAUAUAUUACUUGAAAUGUUAGAAAGCAAUAACAUUGAUUUUUUUUGUUUCUGUGUUCAGUCAUCAGCCAAGUUGCAACAUAUACUUCACUAGUGGAGGGCGCGCGCCCUCGCGCGCGAGGAUGGACUAUGAUUAAAAUUAUGAGUAUGAUGCACAUGUUGUAGGCAUUAUCAUUUGCAUCGUUAAGGUACCUUCACUGAUAUAUAUUUGCAGAAUAGUUAUAAAGUACAAAGGUGCCGUUAUAUGGCAGUGGCAUUGGUAGUUUACGGCCUACCCUACAAGGUCGCUGUAAUUUACAAAGUGCAGGGAUGAUUUCGAGCCCUUAACAGAGCCUUAAAAAAUCACCAUCUGUGAACCCAUAUUGAAGUCCCAUAUAAUUGUUGUAAGUGAUUUUGUAGAUUCACCUGUAAAAGGAAACACAUGGUUCUUAUCAGUUACGCUAGAUGGAAAAUCCCAAAGUGGACAAAUUUCUUUGUAAAUGUUAAUAUAAUUUGGAAGCAACAACUAAAGUUCAUCAGUAAACUCUAAUCUGUUAUCUGAUUGGCAUGUUUUUUCGUCAAAAGUCCUAUAGUCUACAUUUUUGGAUGUUUGCCCAUGCAACUACCAUGUAAUCUUUUUUUUAUGACCAUGCCCUGCCAUUAUAUGUAAUCUGAUAGCACGAAAUGAAAGACAUCUUUUUUGUCCUUCCAGUAAGGUAGGAAACAUGCGACUACUCAGUGCUGUAGAUUGACGUAAAAAGCCACAACAUCUGCAACUUUGAUCUAUAUGGUCAGUAGCAUGAAAAUGGCACUUGAUCGGUGAAGCUACCAAAGUGCUAAAAAAAUUCCACUCACUUCCCAUCUCCCACAGCUUGCAUACAAAUGUUUCAUAUUUCAAGUAGUAACUAUCAGUUUGAUUGCUUUAGCCAUUAAAAUGUAAGGCAUCUCAAAAACUAAAUUCAGUAACUAUCCUAUUCCGCAUCAAGUGUGCUGCAUACUGGAGGUACUUAUAGCAUCAAGGAAAAAAAUGAUGUCCAAAUGAAAAUGAAGAGUCAUAAUGAUAUGAGGAAAUAAUAGCAACCUGUAAGUUUGCAAAUCAAUUGAAAUAGCAAUAGUGAAAUUCAGAUUUUGGUUGAGAAAAAUACCCAUCGAUUCAUUGCCUGCAGUCUUGAUCUAAAGUUGUUUGAUUUGAAGAUGGGUUCAUCAUUUGUAGUCUUGAUCGCUUGAAUUAGCCUGACACCUCAAUUUUCGCAUGUCCCUAAUCGUGGUUCCGUUGUUUUGAUUUUUAAAAUGCCAACAGUGAGCGAUUAAAUAUGAGGACUCUGACGAAGCUUCUAUUUUAACAAACCAUGGCUACAAGCACAUAAAAUCGCUGAGUCUCACUGAAGCACAACACUGCAUAGGGCAACCACAAUCUGCACCUUGUAUGCUCUGUCCACAGAAAAAAGAAGAGAGAACUGAGAAGGGAUUAAUUUACAUUGACAAGCUUGGGGGCAAAGAGAUUUACUGCCAAUACAAAGAGAAUCUGCUUUGGGUCAACCAAUGAGGAAGAUCAAAGCCAGGUUUUCAACUUUUCAUCAAAGAAUUGAGAUGUGAGCAAAGGCUAUUAUUCUUUCUUGAACUACAGCAAUUCCACCAGCGACAAGGAUGAAGUGGAAGACCUUUUUUUAUUAGGAAAAUCUCAGACCGGUCGGGCUUAAAUCCCAACCAUAGAAUCCCUCCACUAAAUUAAUGAAGCAACGAAAAAAUACUACUCUUGUAGUUGGCAUCAACCGGAAGGAAACCGCUGUGCAAAAUAUGAAAGCCAUUGCUAACUAAGCACUGAAAUUGUAGUCUUUUAGUAUAGGCUUCGAGAGUAGCUCUAAUUUUCUUAAUGAACCUGCUAAAGAAAAACAUUCAAUAUAAUAUGCAUUGCAGUAAUCUUGAAAAAAAAGGCCAAGGUUGGCAUGAAACAAAGAAAGCAUCAUGCUCAAUUUCUGAUAGCAAUCGUAGCAGUUUCAGAGUUCUCACUGAACAAAAAGUUCCUUCCUAGCAACUACUACAUACUCAAGAACGAGAGUAUGCUAGGGUUUAGCAAAAAAGGGAUUGUGCUAUAUAAUAUUUAGGUUCCCCACAAAUAGAGCAGUUCAGCUGAAAAGUUGAUUUCCAUUGAACUGCCUAGUCUAAAUGGAACUCAGAUAAGAUGAAUCUGAAUAUAUAGGGAAGCAGAUAGCCUCCAAAGAUAUGUCGAAGGUCAUUUGGACAUAAGUCAUUCCUUUUUUUUUCAAGGUAACCCAUUUUUCUUUAGUGACAGGCAUCAAUUUAUUCAAGAAGGGAAAUGCCAUUUUAAGUGGGAAAUGCCAUCUAGUUCACAGGGUAUACAUGUGAAACAGAUAGAUAAACUAUGAAUUUAAUGUGGAUUUUUGGUUCAUAAAUAAAAAGAACUACAAAGAAGAUACAUGGUACCUUCUGUAAGGUGCCAAAGGAAAGUUUCCCAUGUUUAGUUCAGUGAUUUGAUAUAACCUCCUGCAUAGUAACACACUGAAAUGUGAUGAGAGAAAGCAACCAAAGAGGAUACUCAAGGUAAUCAAAAGGAUGUGAUAGUUGCAAUUCAGAAUAAAUCAAAUCGCUGAGUGUGAUGCAUGUAUUUUCAUGGUUUACCACUCUGUGGUGAGCAAUAAUUAAAUAGCACAAAUAAAUUUCCCUAGGAUUUCUAAUCAAAUAUGAUCACAUACAUCUGCAGGCAACUCAAAGAAUAUGAGGUUCACAAUUAUUACCCUAUAUAGCUGGAAACAUCCAUGACAAGGCUUAUACUGCAUUUGUUGCUGACCAGGGACUUACAAAGGGUUUUGUGAAGGAAAGAGGGAGUUAGUAGCUGCAUUGUUUGUUGAGCCUAGGCAUGUAAAUCUUGUAGCUAAGGAAGUGCACGCUACAAGGAAAAAUAGGGAUUCAGAACAAGGUCAAACAGAGAAGGACAUAGUAUAGAAAAUGUAUGUACUAAAUGAAUCCAAAGCGGCAAAUGCCAACAUAUCUUUACCUGUGUUAGCAACCCAGCAACUCAUAAUUUAUAUAACGGUGAAUAGAGUCAUAAUUUAUAUAAUUAUUAUAUAUGCAACAGUUCAGUACACAACAUGCUGUUCAGUCAACUAAUAUAGAAGCAUAUAAGCUUCUUGAAAGUUCCAGGUGGUCUUAGCUGACUAACGAAGCUAGAAAAUACACUGGCAAACUGGUGCUACCAAAGGAUACAAUUGUUCGGCUAAUAUACAUAACAGUCUUCUAAUCUAGUGUUCUUACCUCGGAGGUAUGUUCUAAUAAUACAAAGAGUUUAACAUGCACAUGACAUAUCAUUUAUUUUCUUCAUGUGAAGCAAGUGCCUGUGCAUAUCACAAAAAUGAUGAGGUAGACAUUUUGUCGGUCCAAGAUACCUGGUGCAAGAAACAGAAAUUUAGUGGAGAGCUAAUGAACAUGAGAUAAGGAUGAUCGUGUAAAAGGAUAUUUAUUUAUGAUGGAAAGGGUUUAUAAUAUUUCUAGAUCACAGAAGCAGAGGGUAAUUUUGCAGCCUGGGACAGAGCCUAUAGUACACAUUGCCAACUGAUACUGGUAACAGUUUUGAAGUAAGCAUUAGUGCGCAGGUUUAGUUUUAGUAGGGAGAAUGGAAACUGAUCAAAAGUGAUGUGUUUUUUUUGGAUCAAUGCUUAAGAGGGAAAAGGGAUAGGGCAUGGUAAGCUAAUUGAAUCUAUUAAUCACUAAUUAGUUUUUGUGCAGAUAUAGUAAAUUUUUGGCCAAUAAUAAUACUAUUGAUAUAUAAGAUGAAACAUUUCAAGGAGCCAUCAUAGAAAUGGUCAUAGAAUACUUUUCAGAAACCAGUUAUAUUUUAGGUGACACAGCUGUUUUGAUGUAAGAUACGCUACGUAAGUAUACUGCAACCAGCAUACUAAAACUUUGUUCGAAGACCAAAAUCUCACUUUCUUUUUGAGAGCACAAUUGUACAGUAUUACUUGUACAGAGCAUGUGUAUAGCCUGAACACAAUGCUGAUUAAUAGGCAGUGAAAGCAAAGCCUUUAUCAUAGACAAAGAAUUAAUGUUCAUGUAAACUGGUCUAUGACAUUUACAAUGUACAAGAAACCAACUAUGUUAACUAUCUGUGCAUUUUGAUUUCAGUUUAGACUUUAGAGAACUAUUUUGCCUAAAAGGGAGGCAUCAGAUAUAGUAAGCUAACCAAAUUUGAUCACAGAUAGGAGAAAGAGUCAAACCUGACGUUAACUACUGGAACUCUGCAGUUCGUUGUUGUGCUGAGACUGUAGGCCACCCUUGUCCGAAAGUUCCGCAGGUCGUUAGCAGUGUGUCAGCUGAUUCACUUAGCCAGCGUUAGAAAACAGAAGAUGCUCUAGUGAAACUGAAAUAAUUCUUAAAGAAAUUUGAAUCAACUUCAAGUAUUUGAGUUGUUGCCAAGAGCACAAUAACAGAGAACAAGAACUAAGCAUACGGAUGCACUAUAAACAACUACUUUAGUCAUACUGCCUUACCAACUGAAUUUAUAGCAGUUCAAAAUUUAGUGAUAAGGGACAUGCAAUUAAAUGGCAUGAAGAUAGUAUAAAACAAGGUGUAAUUUUAGGAGCAUGAAAUAGGAUUAUUUGUUUAUGCUAGGCCAAUUAUGCUAAGGACCUUACAGAAUUUGAAGCUAACUGAAUAGCAUAUUAAACACGCAAAUCCUGGAACAUCAAUAUCAAGUUUGAAAAGUGCAGAAGGUAAAACAAAAUCCAAAAUAAAGCUCCCAGUUAUAGCAUUUUGGAGUUAAGCUCCUCACGUUUCCAUUUAGUGUAAAAGCAUGUUAAGUCCUUCUUCAUCCUCUUACUUGGUAUCUGAUUGGAUGCACCUAAAAAAAUAGAAGACUACUGAUAUUUGACAUGUACACAGUACGAUGAGUAAAUAAAAGUCACACAAUCAGGAUGAGAGGUUCUCAGAAUAUUUGGCUUUUACCUAACUGAAGAAUGUACAACCCUAUAGAACAAACUAACACCCAAAGUGAAUGGGUCUGAAGGAAGUACUAAGGCUCAGUUGGAUAAGUGGAGAGACAGAGCAAGAUAAUUAGGAUGUAAAAGAGAGGGGCAAAGGCAAAGCACAAGCUAAAACUGCACAGCAAACUACAAUGAAAUGAAGACCAAAGCUGUAAUAGGUUAACACAAACAAGAUUCAUGUAAGGCUGAUAAGUGGAGCUGAACAGAUAUAAACAAAUGCAAAGUCAAUUUUGAACAAAAUAUAGUUAUGGCUGAAGCAAUGGGAAAACAAUGGAAAAUAAACAAGGCUCACAUAUGGAAGGUAAAAUUGAGAGGCAUAAACAUACACAC
rnacentral:lncRNA from 1 species